rnacentral:rRNA from 1 species
UACGUAGGGUGCGAGCGUUAAUCGGAAUUACUGGGCGUAAAGCGUGCGCAGGCGGUUUUGUAAGCCAGAUUUGAAAUCCCCGGGCUCAACCUGGGAAUGGCAUUUGGGACUGCAAGGCUUGAGUGCGGCAGAGGAGACUGGAAUUCCUGGUGUAGCAGUGAAAUGCGUAGAUAUCAGGAGGAAUACCGAUGGCGAAGGCAGGUCUCUGGGCUGACACUGACGCUCAUGCACGAAAGCGUGGGGAGCAAACAGG